rnacentral:rRNA from 1 species
UACGGAGGGUGCGAGCGUUGUCCGGAAUCACUGGGCGUAAAGGGCGCGUAGGUGGCGUCGCAAGUCAACGGUGAAAGCUCGACGCUCAACGUCGAGUCGGCCGUCGAGACUGCGAGGCUUGAGCACUGUAGAGGCAGAUGGAAUUCCGGGUGUAGCGGUGGAAUGCGUAGAGAUCCGGAAGAACACCGGUGGCGAAGGCGGGUCUCUGGGCCAUUACUGACGCUGAGGAGCGAAAGCGUGGGGAGCGAACAGG